CAUACAUUACAUCCAACACCUCAAUCGCUUAAUCGGUGACAUCUCGUCUUCCCUGCACCGGAGUCGACGGACAGCUCUCAGCUCACUCAGGGCGGGUCAAAGCCCAACACAAAGAACCUGAUUACUGAGGAGAGAGACAGACAGACUCCCUACCUCUGCCUCUCUAAAGAUGCCUGAUUUCAUGAAUAUAAAUCAUCUCCUCUGAGAUCGCCAUGGCUCAGAUUAAUCAAGACUUCC